AUGGUGAUGAUGAUAACCUGC
rnacentral:siRNA from 1 species